GGGUGCCGUAGGUCUUCUGCGGCAGGUCAUCGAGGCUGGUCGGGCCGCCAUCC
rnacentral:ncRNA from 2 species